GAUGAACGCUGGCGGCGUGCCUAAUACAUGCAAGUCGAGCGAACAGAUAAGGAGCUUGCUCCUUUGACGUUAGCGGCGGACGGGUGAGUAACACGUGGGUAACCUACCUAUAAGACUGGAAUAACUCCGGGAAACCGGGGCUAAUGCCGGAUAACAUUUAGAACCGCAUGGUUCUAAAGUGAAAGAUGGUUUUGCUAUCACUUAUAGAUGGACCCGCGCCGUAUUAGCUAGUUGGUAAGGUAACGGCUUACCAAGGCAACGAUACGUAGCCGACCUGAGAGGGUGAUCGGCCACACUGGAACUGAGACACGGUCCAGACUCCUACGGGAGGCAGCAGUAGGGAAUCUUCCGCAAUGGGCGAAAGCCUGACGGAGCAACGCCGCGGGAGUGAUGAAGGUCUUCGGAUCGUAAAACUCUGUUAUUAGGGAAGAACAAAUGUGUAAGUAACUGUGCACGUCUUGACGGUACCUAAUCAGAAAGCCACGGCUAACUACGU
rnacentral:rRNA from 1 species